GACGAACGCUGGCGGCGUGCCUAAUACAUGCAAGUUGAGCGAUGAAGAUUGGUGCUUGCACCAAUUUGAAGAGCAGCGAACGGGUGAGUAACGCGUGGGGAAUCUGCCUUUGAGCGGGGGACAACAUUUGGAAACGAAUGCUAAUACCGCAUAACAACUUUAAACAUAAGUUUUAAGUUUGAAAGAUGCAAUUGCAUCACUCAAAGAUGAUCCCGCGUUGUAUUAGCUAGUUGGUGAGGUAAAGGCUCACCAAGGCGAUGAUACAUAGCCGACCUGAGAGGGUGAUCGGCCACAUUGGGACUGAGACACGGCCCAAACUCCUACGGGAGGCAGCAGUAGGGAAUCUUCGGCAAUGGACGAAAGUCUGACCGAGCAACGCCGCGUGAGUGAAGAAGGGUUUCGGAUCGUAAAACUCUGUUGGUAGAGAAGAACGUUGGUGAGAGUGGAAAGCUCAUCAAGUGACGGUAACUACCCAGAAAGGGGCGGCUAACUACGUG
rnacentral:rRNA from 1 species